UACGGAGGGUGCAAGCGUUAAUCGGAAUUACUGGGCGUAAAGGGUGCGUAGGUUGUUUGAUAAGUUAACUGUGAAAUUCCUGGGCUCAACCUGGGGUGGUCAGUUAAGACUGUCAGACUCGAGUAUAGGAGAGGGUAGUGGAAUUUCCGGUGUAGCGGUGAAAUGCGUAGAGAUCGGAAGGAACACCAGUGGCGAAGGCGGCUACCUGGCCUGAUACUGACACUGAGGCACGAAAGCGUGGGGAGCAAACAGG
rnacentral:rRNA from 1 species